AUUUCUGCUCCGGGCCGA
rnacentral:misc_RNA from 1 species